UCGCCUGUUUAUCAAACACAUUUCUUUCUUUAUUAGAAAGUAUGCUCUGCUCAAAAAAAUUUUUCAAUAGCCGCAGUAUCCUGACUGUGCUAAGGUAGCAUAAUAAUUUGUCUUAUAAUAGAAGACUGGCAUGAAAGAGUUUACGUCACUUCUUCUUUCUUAAAAAUAGUUUUAUAAUUUUAUAUCUAUGUAAAAAAUCAUAGCUCUCUAAAGGGACGAUAAGACCCUAUAAAGCUUUACUAAAAUAAUAAUUUAAAACCUAGGAAAAUAAUAAUAUUUAUUAGUUAAGCUGGGGCGGCAAUUAUUUACUCGAUAAAAAAAUUAACAAAAAUAUUUGAAAAUUAAGAUCUUGAAAAAAAAUAUAGAACAAGCUACUUUAGGGAUAACAGCACAAUUUUUUCGUAUAGACCUUAUAGACGAAAAAGACUUGUGACCUCGAUGUUGAAUUGAAGAGCUCUAUUUAAGCAGAAAUAAUUAUGAGAAGUCUGUUCGACUUUUAUUCCUUCACGUGAUCUGAGUUCAGACCGGA
rnacentral:rRNA from 1 species